AUUGAACGCUGGCGGCAGGCCUAACACAUGCAAGUCGAGCGGAGCGGCGGACGGGUGAGUAAUUCCUAGGAAUCUGCCUGGUAGUGGGGGAUAACGUCCGGAAACGGGCGAUAAUACCGCAUACUAUCAGAUGAGCCUAGGUGGGAUUGGCUAGUUGGUGGGGUAAAGGCUUACCAAGGCGACGAUCCGUAACUGGUCUGAGAGGAUGAUCAGUCACACUGGGACUGAGACACGGCCCAGACUCCUACGGGAGGCAGCAGUGGGGAAUAUUGGACAAUGGGCGCAAGCCUGAUGCAGCCAUGCCGCGUGUGUGAAGAAGGUCUUCGGAUUGUAAAGCACUUUCAGUUGGGAGGCGUUACCAACAGAAGAAGCACCGGCUAACUUCGUGCCAGCCGCCGCGGUAAUAC
rnacentral:rRNA from 1 species